CUGGAGGUGGCGUGGCUGCCGAGGGGCUCACGGGAGAGCCGGCCAGUGCUCCCUCCUAGAGAGGAGACACCCAGGCAGUCCGCAGUGAGCGCCUGGUGUAGGCUCAGCAUCCCGAAAGGCGUUAAGAAUUUUCCAAAGGGAAGGAGCACCCAUCUCCGUGUGUGUCAUGGAGGUGGGACCAUGUGUGCCCUCACGUGAUGCCCUGAACAUCUUGCACACAGCGGACGCUUGAGACAUUCAUCUUCCCCAGCCAGCUUUCCGUGCCUGUGCCCGACCCACCAGAAGGCCGCCCUGGUCCUGACUUGUGAGCUGGAAUCUGAAGGCCUAAUAAUGCUCAGUGGGAACCUGAGGGGCCAGGAUAAAAGGCCUUAACUCAGAAAUAAACAAUGACAUCCUAUUUCCAACAGAGAAAAAGACAGGCUACAUUUCUGAACCCCAAAGUCCCAGCAGGGACGUCUGUAUCUUUACAGUUUUCCAAUCAGCCUGGGCCCCAGGGAGGUGUGGCUCUCUCCUCGGGGUGAGGGGGUGGAAAGCGGCAGGGCUCUGUAGAAACAGGAGGCUCCUUGGGGCCGUGCCCAGUCACAAAAAGUGAAAGUGAAAUCAAGUCACUUCUCACGCUAGGCCCUCGGGGAGCCGCACAGUCAUCUUUGGUGUCUGCGGAGGGCAAUCUGCAGUAAGAGACUGUGGACCUGAGCCAGCAGAGCGAACUGCAGGCCUUGGUCGCUGCAGAGGAGGGUUCAGCAGCACCUCUGGGGUAGUUCCCAUCCAUUUCUGGCUGCCCGCAUCCUGCCCCGGCUGGUGCUGUCUCUCAGGAAGAUGAAUGGAUUUCCUUCCAGCAAGGCAGACAAGAAAAUGGGCGCUGAGCCAGAUGCUGGGAUAGGUGACCAGAUCUCUCUGAACCUCAGCUGCUUCUCUUGAAACACCUGUACCACGAAUGGAUAGGGUUCCUGUGAGAAUUAAA